CCACCCUUCUUGGCCUCCCAAAGUGCUGGGGUUACAGGUGUGAGCCGCCACGGUUGGCUGAGUUUGGAUUUUAUUGUAAGGGUGGCAGGUCUAGCUGAGCAGUGGCGUAAUCUGGUUUUGAAUAGGCUGCUCUGGAACACAGAAGCAUACUUACCUGUACCUAAGUGUGUUUUCAGGAUAAAGUCAAGUGGAGUUCUCGUACGUUGAGGGUGACAGUGACAACAAAGUGAUGAUAUUGACAACCUUUCACAUAUGCCACUGGGGGAUGGCGGUGGGGCCACAGGGUUAGACUCCAUGAUGACCUAUAGUCUCCUUUCCAAUGCCGAGAUGCCUAAAGCACAAAUUAAAUGGAAGGAAAUCCUGUAAUAUCACCAUCAUUUAUAAAGAGAUAUUGAGCAUCACUAAAAAGUCGAGGGUGCUUUAAUUGACAUUUUGGUUUCCUGGAAUUGGGAUUUGAAAGAUUACUUGCUGAGAUAGUUUCCAUUUCUUGUUAACUUAUAAUAUGCACACAAUUUCUGCUUGAAAAUACAUGUAAGAGAUACCACUGAGAAUGAAGAUUGGAAUAAGGUUGCAAUGAG